GACGAACGCUGGCGGCGUGCUUAACACAUGCAAGUCGAACGGUGAAGCGCUUUCCUUUUUGGUUGGUGUGGAUGAGUGGCGAACGGGUGAGUAACACGUGAGUAACCUGCCCCCUUCUCCUGGAUAACCGCAUGAAAGUGUGGCUAAUACGGGAUAUUCUGCGCCUGCUGCAUGGUGGGUGUGGGAAAGAUUGUGCCUUUGGGUGUUUUCGGUGGGGGAUGGGCUCGCGGCCUAUCAGCUUGUUGGUGGGGUGAUGGCCUACCAAGGCGGUGACGGGUAGACGGCCUGAGAGGGUGGACGGUCACACUGGGACUGAGACACGGCCCAGACUCCUACGGGAGGCAGCAGUGGGGAAUAUUGCACAAUGGGCGCAAGCCUGAUGCAGCGACGCCGCGUGAGGGAUGGAGGCCUUCGGGUUGUGAACCUCUUUCGCCAGUGAAGCAGGCCUGCUCCUUGUGGGUGGGUUGACGGUAGCUGGAUAAGAAGCGCCGGCUAACUACGUG
rnacentral:rRNA from 1 species